GAUACUGGCACUGUUUUCACCCUCACAGAGAACAAACAGCCAACUCAUACACAGCAUCAGUAUCUGUGUAGUUCUAAUUUCAAUUGUCAAUCUGCAGCAGCUGCAAGUGUGGUUUGAUACCUCCCACAUGAUAUUUUCUGUUUCUUUCUGUCCAGAAGUACUAUGGUGCUGUGGCAGCCAACAAGUACAAAGAGAAUGAAAUCAAACACUUCUGCAAAUACCAUGGCAAGUCAGCAGAAAGAAAGACAGACUCCACAGAAGAAGAGAGGACUGAAGGUUCUGUAGAACCCCACCAAGCUCAAACUUGCUGUCAAAGACCCAGAAGACCUUCCAAAGACUUCUACAUUGAAGUUUCUCCUGGUGUCUAUUCUGUCACAGCAAUCUCAGAAGACAUGGUGGAACAAACCCACGUAGUAGAUGUCAAUGCAGGACAAAGUAUUGAUUUAACUUUUGUUCUGUGAUAUUUGUUGUCUCCUGGCAAUAGCAGGAAUAAAACACGAGGCUCAUUUUAAUGCAUUUAAUGAACUGUAAAUAUCUUUUUCUUGUUAGCACUUUAAUAGUAGCUUCCUCUUUGGUACUCCAUUUUUAUGGCCUGUAUAUUUGUUUUCUACUUAAUGCAAUUAUAUGCAGCUCACUUUGUACAUUGAUUUUUAUAAAUAUUUGUACAUUGUGUGCCUUUUAAAUCUAAUUAUGUGACUGUAAUUCCAGAUUCUUCUGCUCUAAACAAUUAAAGAUACAAUCAGUGGAAUAAAAUACAUGAUCAAGC